GCCGUAGUUCAGUAGUGGGGUAUCUGCUUUGUGUGCACAAGGUCCCAGGUUCAAAUCCUGGAAUCUCCA